rnacentral:rRNA from 1 species
AGUCGAGCGGAUGAGUGGAGCUUGCUCCAUGAUUCAGCGGCGGACGGGUGAGUAAUGCCUAGGAAUCUGCCUGGUAGUGGGGGACAACGUUUCGAAAGGAACGCUAAUACCGCAUACGUCCUACGGGAGAAAGUGGGGGAUCUUCGGACCUCACGCUAUCAGAUGAGCCUAGGUCGGAUUAGCUAGUUGGUGAGGUAAAGGCUCACCAAGGCGACGAUCCGUAACUGGUCUGAGAGGAUGAUCAGUCACACUGGAACUGAGACACGGUCCAGACUCCUACGGGAGGCAGCAGUGGGGAAUAUUGGACAAUGGGCGAAAGCCUGAUCCAGCCAUGCCGCGUGUGUGAAGAAGGUCUUCGGAUUGUAAAGCACUUUAAGUUGGGAGGAAGGGCAGUAAGUUAAUACCUUGCUGUUUUGACGUUACCAACAGAAUAAGCACCGGCUAACUUCGUGCCAGCAGCCGCGGUAAUACGAAGGGUGCAAGCGUUAAUCGGAAUUACUGGGCGUAAAGCGCGCGUAGGUGGUUCGUUAAGUUGGAUGUGAAAGCCCCGGGCUCAACCUGGGAACUGCAUCCAAAACUGGCGAGCUAGAGUAUGGCAGAGGGUGGUGGAAUUUCCUGUGUAGCGGUGAAAUGCGUAGAUAUAGGAAGGAACACCAGUGGCGAAGGCGACCACCUGGGCUAAUACUGACACUGAGGGUGCGAAAGCGUGGGGGAGCAAACAGGAUUAGAUACCCUGGUAGUCCACGCCGUAAACGAUGUCGACUAGCCGUUGGGAUCCUUGAGAUCUUAGUGGCGCAGCUAACGCAUUAAGUCGACCGCCUGGGGAGUACGGCCGCAAGGUUAAAACUGAAAUGAAUUGACGGGGGCCCGCACAAUCGGUGGAUCAUGUGGUUUAAUUCGAAGCAACGCGAAGAACCUUACCAGGCCUUGACAUGCAGAGAACUUUCCAGAGAUGGAUUGGUGCCUUCGGGAACUCUGACACAGGUGCUGCAUGGCUGUCGUCAGCUCGUGUCGUGAGAUGUUGGGUUAAGUCCCGUAACGAGCGCAACCCUUGUCCUUAGUUACCAGCAUGUUAAGGUGGGCACUCUAAGGAGACUGCCGGUGACAAACCGGAGGAAGGUGGGGAUGACGUCAAGUCAUCAUGGCCUCUACGGCCUGGGCUACACACGUGCUACAAUGGU